rnacentral:lncRNA from 1 species
UUUAAAGUUUCUUUCCAAUCUAGAAAACACUCGUCUACUAUUCACCAGUGACCAUUGCGAUCAAAAACCCAAAAUCCAAUCGAUGUCUGCUACCUCUAUGGUGCUUCUGCUCACCACAGUUCACCAGUGACCAAAAAGCCGAGUGAAUCCGAGAUUUCGAUCUUGUGUUGCUGCAGCCGAUGCAAACUCUUCUCCUUUUGCUUUUCUUCCUUAAAGCUUCUCUUCAAAAUUUCUCUAGAAACCCGAAAAUCAACCUCCUUUUUUAGCUAAGAAUCUUAACAACCUAACCCAAAAAUCAAUGUCGAUUUGCUACCCGUCUCCCUUUACUGUUCCAGACAACCAAGGAUUUUACUAGCCUUGUUCGACUUUCCCCUAAAAUAAAUCCUAAGAAACUGAACCCUCAAAGAGCAAUUCCCUCACCAAAAAGUUUUCUUUUCCCUUUUGCUAAUUGUGUUUGACUGCUGCUAUUUUCUGAAUGUGUUGUGAAUUGUGGUUGUGUUAUGGACUGUGGUUAUUUUUUGUUGGAUUUGGAUAUGUUUCUAGGUGGAUUCGGAUUGACUGUUCUUUUGUUUUGGUCAAUUUUUUUAUUUCUGAUUGGUUUCUAUCUGGGUUUAUUGAGUUUAAGACCCCUGUUUGGUGAUUUUUCUUCUAUGAGGCCAAUUGUUGAUUUAGCUGGUUUCUGUGUUGCCUUUGUCUUUGUGUUGAAUUCUGCUCUGCUUAGAAUGGCUUUGCUACUUUUUACCGCUAAUUAUUGCUUGACAAUGUAUGAUCUAUGAAUAUUAAUCGCUUUUCUGAUUGCUGAAAUUGCUUCCUUGAUUGCUUCUGGCUUCUUGUUAGGAUUGCUUGAUGCUUCCUUUGGUUUGCACGAUUGAAAUUGCUGUUGAAUGUGUGUUUUUUCUGUCGAUUGUCCCUUGCUUGAACUUGAUUUUUUGGCCUAGAAUUCCUUGGCUUUGCUGAUUGUAUGUAGAUUCUGAAUUACUUUUUGUGUUUUAUGCUGGGGCUUCCCCUUGAUUCUUCUGUGUGCUUCUUGCCACUUCUUGCUAUGCUUGAUUCCUUGUUGUCUCUGUUAAUUUGCUCAAUGCUUCUUCUACUUCUAAAUUGCUUAAUGCUUCUUGAUUUUCUUGAUGUCUUGAUCUUGCUUUGUGAUCCUAAAUUGCUUAAUGCUUUUUGAUUUUCUUGAUGUCUCAAUCCUGCUUUGUGAUCACAGAUCAAGAGCCCUUUAUAGGAAUAAAACCUUAAUUCAAUUCAAAAAAUUUUAAUUCCACCAGCUCUAAGAAAACUCUCCAAGAUUCAAUUUUCUGUAAUUUUUCUUUUUUCCAAUGAAUUAAUGUUCAAGAAUUUUCAUAGGCAUUUAAUCAAUAAAUUUCAGAAUCCAAAAUUAAAUCCAAGACCGAAUCUCAAAGUGGAUCCAAGAUUUCUUACCAAUUUCCAAAUCCCACCUUUUUUUUUUGUGUUUUUUAUCUUUUUUUUUUUACUUUGAUUCAAAAAAAUUAAUUUAAAAUCAAAAUUAAAAUAAAAAAAUGAAAAAUUUGGACUUUUAAUCCUUGGAGUCAAAAUUUACUUUUUUAUUAAGAUUUAAUUACAUAAUUAAAUUGAAAUUCGAAACCCAACGAAUUUAAAAAAAUUCUAUGAACAAAAUGGGGUGUUUAGAAAAAACAUUGAAACUUUAAAAUUUUGAAAAUGUUUCUUUAACAAGAGUCAAAGAGACUUUAAAAAAUAAAAAUAUCUAUUCAUCUAGCGAUUAUGAAAUUUUAAAAUUCACAACCAAAAAGUUUCUCUCUUUUAACUAGAGAUUAAGAAACUUUAAAAUUCACAACCAAAAAACUCUUUUAACUAGAGAUUUUGAAAUUUUAAAGAAUCAAAUCUAAAAAGUUACAUGAAGGUUUUGGGAUUAUAUUUUGAUGUUUUAUAAAUCAUAUACGGAAGUCUUAAAAAUCGAAUUUUAUCUUGAAAAAAUUUUUUUUCAACGAAAGUUUUAAAACUUUAAAAUUAAUAUAUUUUUGUUCAUAUGCUAACAUAGUUUUGAUUAAAUUUUCAAUUGGUGCCACGAGCUUGAGAUUCAAUUAGUGCUAGCUAAUUUGGGUUUAAGUCUCAUUAUUUGUUAGUUAAUUUGAACUUAAAUCUCAUAUUGUGUCAAUUAAUCUAGGCUUAAGUCAAAUUUUUUGUUUCUUUCUUCACCUUAUAGUUUACAAAAAUACAAAUGUCAUGAUAUGAAUGCCAAUGUAUCAUAGCAAGAUACAGAUGAAUAUACUUAUCUCACCAAUAUAAAUGCAAGGUGGUAGUAUAGCCCUGGUGAGAUUAGAAUCAAAUUUAGAUUUUAAAUGUUUUAUUUGUGUCAAAACUUAAUGUCAUAACGUUCAGAUCUGAGAAUUGAAUCAUUAUAUACAAAAAAUAUGAAAUCGCUACCGAUAUUUUUUAUUUAGAUGUGAUUGGUCAUUUAUAUGAAUAUAUUAUUUUAAAGAUUAUUUUAAGUUUGAUUGAUGGUCCUUAAAAAUAAUAAAUUUUGGUUUACAUCAACAAAUUUAAGUUCAAAAGUCGGUUACAUGUAGGAAAGAUUUUAGUACUUCACAAUACCUAAAAUUGGUACUAAAUUAGUUUUAUGUUAUCUUAUUUAAGUCUUAAUUUAAACGAUUUUUAUUCAUACAUUUUGUUAAUUUUAAUAUUUU